ACGGAAGGCAGCAGUGGGGAAUAUUGGGCAAUGGGGGAAACCCUGACCCAGCAACGCCGCGUGAAGGAAGAAGGCCCUCGGGUUGUAAACUUCUUUUACCAGGGACGAUAAUGACGGUACCUGGAGAAAAAGCAACGGCUAACUACGUGCCAGCAGCCGCGGUAAUACGUAGGUUGCAAGCGUUGUCCGGAUUUACUGGGUGUAAAGGGUGUGUAGGCGGAACUGCAAGUCAGAUGUGAAAUCCCGGGGCUCAACCCCGGAACUGCAUUUGAAACUGUAGUCCUUGAGUAUCGGAGAGGCAAGCGGAAUUCCUAGUGUAGCGGUGAAAUGCGUAGAUAUUAGGAGGAACACCAGUGGCGAAGGCGGCUUGCUGGACGACAACUGACGCUGAGGCGCGAAAGCGUGGGGAGCAAACAGGAUUAGAUACCCUGGUA
rnacentral:rRNA from 1 species